CAACUCACGUAGAAUAAACGCAGACUACGAUUCAUAUGAUCAGGUUUAUGGCUUUGUGUUAGGUUUCUUUGUUACCGUUUUCAAUCUGUCCAACUCCGAAUUCAAUUUCUUUCUAAUUCUAACUGAUCAUCGAAUCGAUUCAACCCUAGUAUGAAACCCACAAUGUCUCAUUGCCUCCAAUCUUUCGUUCGACCCAAUUUCUUCUCUAUUAGUGAAACUGAUUCGUUCUUCCUGAAUCUUGAUUAUUCGAACCCUAAUUUUUUUUGGAAGAUCAUGUAUCGUCAUUUUCGGGUUUCAUGUUUCUGAACCCUAAAAAUCUUGAUUCGAUUUGAAAGUGAAAUGUAGAAAUCGAAAAGAAUUAAACGACGACGUUGGAUUCACUUCACUCUCAAUCCAAAUUGUAAAGGAACCUGUUGCUCUGAGACUCACAUCCACUGGUAAAGUCACCAGAUACUGGAAGACAUUUAUCUUCACUUGAGUUGCAUUACCCUUCACAAUGAUAGUAAUUGUUCGUAAAUGGGACCAGCAAAAGGAAAGGCUAGUCAAUGUGUAUGAGGAAGAGGAAGAUAUAGUCAAGCUGUUAAAAAUAUAGAAUUUGACCAACAUCUUGGGCCUUACAAUCAUAGCGACUAUGAAGAUUGGAAGCGAUUAUCUAAUUUCGUUACAAAGAGCAUCAUCGAAUGGCUUGAGCCCAUCGGAGGAGAAAUCAGUGUUGAUUGCGAAAAUGAUAUGUUUAGAAACACUCCAAAACAUCAAUGGAGGAAGCACCAGACAAGCAAGCAGCUAAAGGUUGGUAAUUCUGCAACGUCUAUUGGCACAAACCAGAUAAAAGGAUGUUAUUAUACCUCGAUUCCACGAGUUGUAAAACGCAAGGGGAUCAGUGAACAGGAACUUCUUUGAAUCAUGACAAGAGCCUUAACAUGUUGCUUUUUGUUGAUAUGUGCUCAUGUUUUAUGUUGGACUUCUCUGACACAAUUGCUAGAAACUCUUGUGGAAAAAAAUUAUGGAGGUUCCGAACACUUGCUCCUUGGAGAACUGCAGUUUGCAUUAAUUGCCUUUUUGAUGGGUCAGUCGUUAGAAGCAUUUCUCCGGUGGAAAUCCUUGCUUAGCCUUCUGUUUGGCUGCACUGAAGCAGUAAGUAUAUUUUUUGAGUUGUAUUGGGUUUGAAUAAUGUAUGCAUAGAUUAUUAGAUGUAAAAAAAGUUUCUUUUUGUAUGCUAAAAAUGGUUCAUUUAGAUGUGAUAACAUCACUUUCUUAUCAACAUCUUUGGAGACGUUUAUACGAUGCACACAUCAUACACAACUGUAACAUGAUUAAUAUUAUAAUUUCCAUGGAUUAGCUAUUCAAUUUACUCAGAAGUGAGCCAUUAGUAUUCAGUUUUUUAUUAUUGUUGAACCAGUUCAUGGGGGUAAGGGGGGGGUAUUGAUAGCAAUUAAGCAUUAAGUAAAGUGGUUUCGUGGCAUUUGCUUACGGUUCAAUGGUUACUUGUGUUUUGUUAGACGCUGGUUUUGUCUAUGCAUCUAGCUUUUGUUCUUCAUUGUGGAGUGGAUGUUGGUGAAGCUCUUGGAUUUCUGUAAACUCUAAUUUAGAGAAGAAAGCACCAGAUUAUGUUGCUCAAAAGACAUAAUCUCAGGAGCCCUUUCUGCACAAGGUACAUCUUAUAUUACAAUGAAGUGAUAAAUGUUAAUGUACAACUCUUCAAAGAAUUUGAGAAAGAUGUUAUUAUGUUUAUUACGUAUCGAGUCUUAUUUGUUGUUCAAAUGUAUAAAUCAGUUGCUAUUUGCUUGAUGGAGGUUGUAACAUAUAAAAAAUAGUAGGAAAUAUUGCUCAUCUAUUGUCAAUACCACUGGAUGUGUUCUUAUUUAGUCGACAAAAACUAUUAGAUGGCUCUUUCACUUUAAUAGUGACUUGUUUUCUGAAUUUUCAUAACAUCUUUCUAUUCAGAGCUUGCCUAACUUAUGUGGGUUUCGAGGUUUUAAACAUAAUUGUUUGAUUGAGACAUGGAUUACUAACCCAUAUUUAGACUGGUUUGCAUAGGGUAAAUUGACGUAAAGUGCGAAGGUAUAAAGGAGAAAAAGACUUGAGAAGAAGGGGAAGUUCUAGUUGGCGGGUGAUAUAGUAUCUGACUAAGCAAGAGAAGACUCUUAGCUUGCAGAAGGAUAGAAAUUGAGAGAGACUUGAGAUAGCAAAUAGAGGCUAAACAUUUACGUUGAUGGGUGUUAAGAAAAGGCCUAAAUUCAAGCCUAAUUUGUUUGAGGCUUUUAUUUAUUUAUUUUUUAACUACAAUUCAACAAAUGACUAAUUUAUCGCAAAAGGUUCAAUAUGGAAUUAUUGCUGAUCAAAAUGCAAUGGUGGAAGAUUUGGGUGAAUGGAAGGAGGGACAAUGGCUUUUGGUGCAGAAGUGGCCGAGGGAAUUAAUGCAGUAGGUGUAUGUAUGCCUUUUUUUUUCACAAGUUUUGGAGGUUGAGGAUAUUGACAGAUUGCAAUGGUUAGCUGAUCUGGUAGGCGCUUAUUCAGUGAAAUCAGCAUAUGACGUAAUUUCAAAUGGGGAUGUUCUCUGUUGGACCUGCUUUUAAGGGUAUUAAGAUGAUUCUUCCGGGUACUCAUUUUGUCUACUAUAGUUCAUCAACCAGGUUUGAUUAUUCUGCUUAAUCCUGUAUAAUUCAUUUUCUGUCAUUCCUUUAUUUCUGAAUGAGAAAAUGUUAGCAA